UUGCACUUGAACAAACCGACCUUCAUUUAAUUGGUUGUUGGUGUUCGUUGGUGCGCAUAUCAAACCCCUUGGUUUGUGUAAGAUCUCCGUCACAUAUACGGAGUCCUAAAGGGACCUUGGAAACAGAG
ensembl:snoRNA SNORA70 Small nucleolar RNA SNORA70